rnacentral:lncRNA from 1 species
UGGCAGUCAGUUUCGAUCAUCACAGCCCGUGUUUCUCUGAGGGUCCCUGCUUUGGCUACAGCUGAUACACUUAGCUGCAUGUGCCCUAAAAUGAUAUCUCUCUUGAUAUGAAAUAUGGGUGUUGGAGAGUCAGCUGUCCUCGAGGAGAAGAUUAAAAGAAGAAACACUGCUUUUCAAAGACAAGUCUCUCCCACAAGGAAGACAAAAGCGAAAACUAUUGGAAGUGUAUGUGGGCUCCGUCCAAUAGAAACACAGUAGCCCUGCAGAUAUUGUCUAUUGAGCUUACAACCGAUGAACUGAAUUUUAGUAGUUAUUUUCUUUGGCUCCAAAUCUCCAACGUUUUAUAGUUUUUAACAUGUAGUAAAUAUAAUUAUUAAAC